CGUGUCCUGCUAGGUGUCGUGUCCUGCUUGGUGUCGUGUCCUGCUUGGUGCCGUGUCCUGCUAGGUGUCGUGUCCUGCUUGGUCCUGCCGUGUCCUGCUAGGUGUCGUGUCCUGCUAGGUGUCGUGUCCUGCUAGGUGUCGUGUCCUGCUAGGUGUCGUGUCCUGCUUGGUGUCGUGUCCUGCUUGGUGUCGUGUCCUGCUAGGUGUCGUGUCCUGCUUGGUGUCGUGUCCUGCUAGGUGUCGUGUCCUGCUAGGCGUCGUGUCCUGCUAGGCGUCGUGUCCUGCUAGGUGUCGUGUCCUGCUAGGCGUCGUGUCCUGCUAGGUGUCGUGUCCUGCUAGGCGUCGUGUCCUGCUAGGUGUCCUGCUAGGUGUCGUGUCCUGCUAGGUGUCGUGUCCUGCUAGGCGUCGUUUCCUGCUAGGCGUCGUGUCCUGCUUGUGUCCUGCUUGGCGUCGUUUCCUGCUAGGUGUCGUGUCCUGCUAGGUGUCGUGUCCUGCUAGGUGUCGUGUCCUGCUUGGUGUCGUGUCCUGCUAGGUGUCGUGUCCUGCUAGGUGUCGUGUCCUGCUAGGUGUCGUGUCCUGCUAGGUGUCGUGUCCUGCUUGGUGUCGUGUCCUGCUAGGCGUCGUGUCCUGCUAGGUGUCGUGUCCUGCUAGGUGUCGUGUCCUGCUAGGUGUCGUGUCCUGCUAGGUGUCGUGUCCUGCUAGGUGUCGUGUCCUGCUAGGUGUCGUGUCCUGCUAGGUGUCGUGUCCUGCUAGGUGUCGUGUCCUGCUAGGUGUCGUGUCCUGCUUGUGUCCUGCUAGGUGUCGUGUCCUGCUAGGUGUCGUGUCCUGCUAGGUGUCGUGUCCUGCUAGGUGUCGUGUCCUGCUAGGCGUCGUGUCCUGCUAGGUGUCGUGUCCUGCUAGGUGUCGUGUCCUG
ensembl:lncRNA